rnacentral:lncRNA from 1 species
GCAAGCGUGUCCCCAUGGGUUUUCCAUAUGCAUCUCUGUUGCCCACGAAGCGCUGGACUAAGCAUGCCUGGGAAAAGAAAGGGGCGAGACUGAAACUUUUUCUCCUGACUUCCCUGACUUCCCAGGAGUCUGUCUGGUACCUAGAGGAGAAGGUGAGAAAUGAAGAAGAAAAUGCUGCCCAAUUUCCUUCAUUUCCAAUUGAGAGACUCUUUCAAGAUUUCCCAUCUCUGAAUUUGCCAACUUUCAGUUUCACUUUCUGACAAA